AACGAACGCUGGCGGCAGGCCUAACACAUGCAAGUCGAACGCCCCGCAAGGGGAGUGGCAGACGGGUGAGUAACGCGUGGGGACCUACCUUUCGGUGCGGAAUAACUUCGGGAAACCAAAGCUAAUACCGCAUACGCCCUACGGGGGAAAGAUUUAUCGCCGAUAGAUGGGCCCGCGUCGGAUUAGCUAGUUGGUGAGGUAAUGGCUCACCAAGGCUACGAUCCGUAGCUGGUCUGAGAGGAUGAUCAGCCACACUGGGACUGAGACACGGCCCAGACUCCUACGGGAGGCAGCAGUGGGGAAUAUUGGACAAUGGGCGCAAGCCUGAUCCAGCCAUGCCGCGUGAGUGAAGAAGGCCUUAGGGUUGUAAAGCUCUUUUAGUGGGGACGAUAAUGGCGGUACCCACAGAAUAAGCCCCGGCUAACUUCGUGCCAGCCGCCGCGGUAAAAC
rnacentral:rRNA from 1 species